GAUGAACGCUGGCGGCGUGCUUAACACAUGCAAGUCGAACGGGAAAUACUUUAUUGAAACUUCGGUGGAUUUAAUUUAUUUCUAGUGGCGGACGGGUGAGUAACGCGUGGGUAACCUGCCUUAUACUGGGGGAUAACAGCCAGAAAUGACUGCUAAUACCGCAUAAGCGCACAGGACCGCAUGGUUCGGUGUGAAAAACUCCGGUGGUAUAAGAUGGACCCGCGUUGGAUUAGCUAGUUGGCAGGGCAGCGGCCUACCAAGGCGACGAUCCAUAGCCGGCCUGAGAGGGUGAACGGCCACAUAGGGACUGAGACACGGCCCAGACUCCUACGGGAGGCAGCAGUGGGGAAUAUUGCACAAUGGGGGAAACCCUGAUGCAGCGACGCCGCGUGAAGGAAGAAGUAUCUCGGUAUGUAAACUUCUAUCAGCAGGGAAGAUAAUGACGGUACCUGACUAAGAAGCCCCGGCUAACUACGUGCCAGCCGCCGCAGUAA
rnacentral:rRNA from 1 species